UAGGCCCAAAUACAGCUCUAGUAAUCGCAUACAGAAUCAUAAAAGUAGAGACCAAAACCAGCCGGCACUAACGCGCACACACACUGGUUACUAGUACCCUCUCGAAGACAAAACAAGGUCAUAUUUUUCAUAUGAUCGUCUCUCCAUAGUUUUCAAAAGCCGCCCACUCUCACCAAAUCUCACCUAUAUAUUCACACACACACAAACACUCGUUAAUACAUACAACCCUUUCGUUUUCUCCUCGUAAGCUUUAGAUCCACAGCUCAGUCGCCAGAUCCUCCUCUGUAAACAUGUCAACUGUGAGUAUUCCUUCCCAAUGCAUGUUCAGCACUGCCCCGAGGUGCCAGAAGUCGAGUGCUCUUGUUAAGAGUCCUCCAUCCAUAGGGUAUGUGAAAAGCGUUUCCAAAUCCUUUGGAUUGAAAUCUGGUAAUGGAUUCAAAGCUUCUGCAAUGGCUGCAUACAAGAUCAAGCUGGUGACCCCAGAAGGUGUAGAGCACGAAUUCGAGGCUGAAGAUGAUUGCUACAUCCUAGAUGCUGCUGAGGAGGCAGGUGUGGAGCUUCCAUAUUCUUGCAGGGCAGGUGCAUGCUCUACCUGUGCUGGAAAGAUUAUUGAAGGCUCCGUUGACCAGGCUGAUGGAUCGUUCCUUGAUGACAAACAAAUGGGAGAGGGUUACUUGCUUACUUGCGUGUCCUACCCGAAAUCCGAUUGUGUGAUUCACACCCACAAGGGGAUCUUUAUUAAGUAACAGCAUUAGGCUGCUUGAUGCUUAAAAUCUCUUUUUAGUGGUGAUCAGGAUUGUAACUGUCUGUUUCAAACUUUUGAUACUUAUGGAAUGUUUCAGUCUUGUUUGUUAAAUUAUACAAUUUCGGAAUUUGUUUC